rnacentral:rRNA from 1 species
CAGCCGCCGCGGUAAUACGUAGGGUGCAAGCGUCAAUCGGAAUUACUGGGCGUAAAGCGUGCGCAGGCGGUCCGCUAAGACAGAUGUGAAAUCCCCGGGCUUAACCUGGGAACUGCAUUUGUGACUGGCGGGCUAGAGUAUGGCAGAGGGGGGUAGAAUUCCACGUGUAGCAGUGAAAUGCGUAGAGAUGUGGAGGAAUACCGAUGGCGAAGGCAGCCCCCUGGGCCAAUACUGACGCUCAUGCACGAAAGCGUGGGGAGCAAACAGGAUUAGAUACCCCUGUAGUCCCUGUCUCUUAUAA